AAAUGAUCAGAAAUUUAAUAACCAAUUCAUUCAAUGAUAGAUCAGAGAAAUAAUAUAAAAAAUUGUCCUUGCUGAUGUGACAUUGCCUUGUUUGUUUUUCUAUCGAUUGGUGUAGCAAGAUAAUUAUUUUUAUUUUUUUUUAAAUUGUGACUUCGAGGAGGCAAAUAUUGAAUACAAAUUUUGAUAGCUGGCAUAUUAAACACAAUUUCUGACAUAUUAUCUGGAGCUGAGUGCUAGAGUGUUCAUUCAGUACGGUGCCAAGUAAUUGUAUUGAAUGUCUAUUGAAUGCAUACUUAUGCAUAUUUCAAUCCAGGCUUCCAUUAGUUAUCUGAUGUGAGCUAGGUUUGCGUCUCCAUCGUCUACAUUUCUACAUUUUUUUAAGAUUUCAAAAGGCAUAUUCCACAACAUUCGCAGAGAUUUCUCAACGUGAGCUUUGAUGGGGCUUUCCACCGCUAGGGCUUCCAUUGGCUACCAUUGAUCUAUAAUUACAACAUUCUGACUGGCUUGGGUGGGAAUCGAUAUGCUCGAACAAAACUCCUCUCUGUCUCCAUCCUCUCAAGUGUAGGUCCUCUGUUUUGCUCUACUGUGCUCGACGAGUGUGUUCUACACAGGUGCAUACCAAAUACACAGGUGUGUGAGGUAAAGUUGGAAUUACACUGCCCUGAAAGCACCUGAAUGUUGCUUACCAUUUGGAGAAGAGAGGGAAUACAGGUAACCUACUUCAGUUCAUUAACCAAUUGAAGCUGAUGGAGACUCGAGCAAUGACAGAGUAUCGGGCACACGCAUAGAAAGGGAGCUUCAUCAUCCAACAUCUCUUAGCCGACAUUUCAUUCAAAUAUUUUCAUCAAGUCCUUGUUCCAGCUUUACAAAUUGCAGCAGGAAAUGCAAUGAAUUCAUCUUUCAUGAUCUAAUUUGUACCAAAGAGAAUUUUAACAUUUAAUUAAAAAUUGUACUUGAACAUUAAAUGGAUUCAAUGAGGAAUGUUAUGGAUUUAAUGCCUUUAAUAAUGCAAAAUACAACAUCUGCUUCCGCUUAUC